CACCCUACGCAAUCUCCCCACCCAAUGAACCCUUCGCCCUCUUCCUCUUACCUCCCUAUCCUUCCAACUCGAGUUUUCUAGGGUUCCGACACCGCCAACCCCGCUCAGCUCUCGCUGCCGCCACUUAUGAUGCCUGGCGAGCCAUAGAAGGAUGUGGAUAGGGUGGUUAUGGUCACAAAAGAGGAGGCGAAGAAGUUGGGGAUCAUGGCCAUCUUUCUGGGUUCAUCUGCCAUCCUCCUGCGUCAAUGACAGUCACGAAAUCAAGACAGUAGUGUACGUGUAUUGAUCUAAAGAUAUUGGCUUCCAUUUGCAUCAUCGUUCGGUUUUCCUGUUGACAAGGCUGGUCACCCGCCCCUAGCUGCCCACGACUCUGCUACCAGUCCAUCAAGUCAAAGGUCACGUUCGAGGGAUCCCUCACCUGGCUAGACCUCUUCAGUUAACAAGAUCAGCCACAAGGUUCGUCUUGAGGACAUGAAGUGCAUGGUCUUUGCUGGCACCACCUUGUCAAUGGCGGCGGCUAUGUCAUCUAUCGAGAUGGGAACAAGCAUGACGACUGAAAGUCUGAUACAGGCAAGAUCAAUUCGCAUAUCCAGGAGGUAUUGCAGUAGGAGGAUGACACAUUGAUUGAAAAGAAGCUCAAUGAGUUAUGUGAGGCGCCCAUAAUUGGGACGACACAAGGAAGAUGACUCAGAAGAAUGCACUUGUGAUAAAGUUACAGGGUGUUCGAUACCUUAACUUGGACAACAGUGAUUCGCUCUAAUAAGACAUGAACUUGGAACACCAACUAGAAGUCAGCGGUGAUGCUUGUGGCAGUUGGGAGGUAGCUCAUACAGUAAUGAACUUCAAGGUUCAUGGAACCAUGUAUGAUUCAAAUGAUGGGAAGGUAUAAUGACAGGCAAACUUUGAACAUGGAUGGUAACCUUCAGAUGACUGAAGAUAGCUGCACUAUUCAAUGAUGGUGAUGCUUGUGGCAGUUGGGAGGUAGCUCAUACAGUAAUGAACUUCAAGGUUCAUGGAACCACGUAUGAUUCAAAUGAUGGGAAGGUAUAAUGAUAGGCAAACUUUGAACAUGGAUGGUAACCUUCAGAUGACUGAAGAUAGCUGCACUAUUCAAUGAGGCAAGUAUGCACACUCUGAGCAUCAGUAUGUUGCUACUGGGAUGCCCAUAGAGGCUGCAUUCAAGGGACCGUUUGUCAAGACAUAUAUGUAACAUGUUGCUUCUACUUGGCACUUCUAUACUCUAAUUAGUUUAUAUUUAUUUUUUCCCAUUGCAACCCUCGGGCGUUUCCUCCAAAACCAGUGAAAAAUAAUGGUUGUCCGUUUUUCUGCAACUUUAGAUUAUUUUAGACUAUCUUCUUCGGCAGUGCUUCACAUUCAGAGUAUAUGGUAUAUUGUUUUGCAAAAGGUUCAAUAUAUAAAUUGAUCUUU